rnacentral:pre_miRNA from 2 species
CAACUCUCAUCCUACACCGUUGGAUCGAGAAAUAGACGUCCGAGAUUCGUCCAUGUCACCAUGAGUUAAAAUUUAACUCGCAAAUUCACUCAUGAGUUAAAUUUUACUAUGAAUUAAAUUUUAACUCAUGGUGACGUGGACGAAUCUCGAACGUCAUUUCUCGAUCCAACGGUGUAGAAUGAGAGUUG